rnacentral:lncRNA from 1 species
CCAGAUGGAGGCGGAAUUAGAAUGACAGAGCAGCAGAUUGUUGUGUGAUGAGCUUUAAGAAGUUUCCAGGCUUUGACUUUCCUCUGAUGACGGAUCCUUCUUUCUGUCCCCACAAAACUGGUACAUGGUUCUACAGGGUUUUCAGAGUGUUGUAAUCCUAUCAGAGAGACCGAGGACACUUGAAAAAGACGACUCUGGAUCUUUCAAAUGAAACGAAACAUCU